UGCUGAUGUUUUCUUCGGUAGUUAACUGUAGUCAGUUCCAUAAUUCGGCAGUUAACUGCCGAGGGGCAU
rnacentral:pre_miRNA from 1 species